rnacentral:rRNA from 1 species
CGCGGCCUAUCAGCUUGUUGGUGAGGUAACGGCUCACCAAGGCAACGACGGGUAGCUGGUCUGAGAGGACGAUCAGCCACACUGGGACUGAGACACGGCCCAGACUCCUACGGGAGGCAGCAGCAGGGAAUCUUGCGCAAUGGGCGAAAGCCUGACGCAGCCACGCCGCGUGAGGGAUGAAGGCUCUAGGGUCGUAAACCUCUUUCAGCAGGGAAGAAAAUGACGGUACCUGCAGAAGAAGCUCCGGCCAACUACGUGCCAGCAGCCGCGGUAAUACGUAGGGAGCGAGCGUUGUCCGGAAUUAUUGGGCGUAAAGAGCUCGUAGGUGGUUCAGUAAGUCGGGUGUGAAAACUCUGGGCUCAACCCAGAGACGCCACUCGAUACUGCUGUGACUCGAGUGCGGUAGGGGAGCGGGGAAUUCCUAGUGUAGCGGUGAAAUGCGCAGAUAUUAGGAGGAACACCAGUGGCGAAGGCGCCGCUCUGGGCCGUAACUGACGCUGAGGAGCGAAAGCGUGGGUAGCAAACAGGAUUAGAUACCCUGGUAGUCCACGCCGUAAACGUUGGGCACUAGGUGUGGGUCUCAACCAACGAGAUCCGCGCCGUCGCUAACGCAUUAAGUGCCCCGCCUGGGGAGUACGG